CCACGGCACUAACCUAGUAUUCUAUUUAUCCUGUUACUUUGUUUAAUUAAACGCUAUAAAACCUUAAAAUUAAUAAGAAUCUUUAAAAGUAAGGGGGACAACUGUUUUUCCCUGUUGACGUCAUCACACUCGGUAUCCAUGUUUAAAUCGCCCCCAAAAUAGUUCGUAAAACUGUUCAACUUUUUUAGUACGUUUAUAUUCAAAGUCAUUGCAUUUUAAUACGUCAAUAUCAAUUCAAAACAUAAAAAUACUUUUAAACGUGCAUAAGCAUGGAUCAGUCUCUGAACAUUAUCUGAUGAUGUAACAAUUAUUCCGCAAGUCAGAGUACAGUACACAGGUCAAAAUUAAAGAUCACGAGUGUUUACAAACAAUCGCAACAUAUUAAAUGGAUUUAAAUGAUGUUGAUAGUGUUGAAUGAUCAUAACUGCACCGGCAAAGAGAUCAUUCAUUUCUGUUUUUGGUUUACAGAAGGAUUGUUGUGUGUUAAUACGCUGACCAUACAGAGAGACCGCUCCCUUCCUUUUCCUGAAGCAAUGCACAGGGCGCCUUAUUGUCCAAUGUGGUUGUAAAAUUCCUGUGCAUGUAGUUCUUUGACAUUGGUGCUGAUUGUACGUUACUUCCCAAUGUCAGACCCACUGGAGUUGGGAGUUUACACGCAGACACUAAAGCCCAAGACAAGGACAAGACAGUCAGACAGAUGUUUGAGCUCAACAAGCUGAAUAAACCAGUCAAAUGCCUGAUGGACAGUAAACCAGUCUGGACAAACAGGAACCACAAGGUUGUCAUGGACGCAUAUUCACAGUCCCUGACAUAAUACUGCAGGAUGCUGGGAAAUAAACAUGUGCCUGUGGUGAUGUUUUGUCAUCAGCUUCCCUUACUGUUGGAGAUCCGCUGGUUGAGUUGGUUGCCCCACUGAAGCAUGUUGCAGGAGACAAUCACAGUGUCAGACGCCUAUGACAUCAGUCAUGGCAAUACCCACCAUUCCCGGCACCUAAAAGGGUUUCCCCUGACAAAGGUGCAGAACACACAAUCAUCUUUGACGUCAAGUUCAGUAAUGCUAAAUUUACUGUGAAAGCGCCAAAGACCUGUAAUUCAAGCCAUUGCAGAAAACAGAACAUCAGGCAGUUCUACCUGAACACAGCCCCAUCCAGCAUGAUUUAGGCUGCAGAACUAUACAAUAGUAUCAGUGGAUCAACCUAUCUGAGAGGGGUGACAUACAGACUGAAGAUGGGCAAGUGUGUUGUGCAGGUUGUUAACCAGAAUUUGGAGAAUGUGCUAUACAAACUGAACAACAUAGGG